rnacentral:rRNA from 1 species
GACGAACGCUGGCGGCGUGCCUAAUACAUGCAAGUAGGACGCAGUUGCGAACGGGUGAGUAACGCGCAGGUAACUGACUGUUAGAGGGGGAUAACUCUUGGAAACGAUACCUAAUACCGCAUACUAGUAGAUGGACCUGCGUUGUAUUAGCUAGUAGGUAGGGUAAUGGCCUACCUAGGCGAAGAUACAUAGCAGAACUGAGUGGGUGAGCGGCCACACUGGGACUGAGGCACGGCCCAGACUCCUUAGGGAGGCAGCAGUAGGGAAUCUUCGGCAAUGGGGGGAACCCUUACCGAGCAACGCCGCGUGAGUGAAGAAGGGUUUCGGAUCGGAAAGCUCUGUUGUUAAGGAAGCGGUACUUAACCAGAAAGGGACGGCUAACUACGUGCCAGCAGCCGCGGUAAUUC